GAUGAAGAACGCAGUGAAAUGCGAUAAGUAAUGUGAAUUGCAGAAUUCAGUGAAUCAUCGAAUCUAUGAACGCACAUUGCGCCCCCUGGUAUUCCGGGGGGCAUGCCUGUCCGAGCGUCAUUACAACCCUCAAGCUCAGCUUGGUGUUGGGCCCCGCCGCCCCGGCGGGCCCUAAAGUCAGUGGCGGUGCCGUCCGGCUCCGAGCGUAGUAAUUCUUCUCGCUCUGGAGGUCCGGUCGUGUGCUCGCCAGCAACCCCCAAUUUUUUUCAGGUUGACCUCGGAUCAGGUAGGGAUACCCGCUGAACUUAAGCAUAUCAAUAAGCGGAGGA
rnacentral:misc_RNA from 1 species